AGAGUUUGAUCCUGGCUCAGAUUGAACGCUGGCGGCAUGCUUUACACAUGCAAGUCGAACGGUAACGCGGGGGCAACCCUGGCGACGAGUGGCGAACGGGUGAGUAAUACAUCGGAACAUGUCCUGGAGUGGGGGAUAGCUCGGCGAAAGCCGGAUUAAUACCGCAUACGCUCUGAGGAGGAAAGCGGGGGACCUUCGGGCCUCGCGCUGCGGGAGUGGCCGAUGUCGGAUUAGCUAGUUGGUGAGGUAAAGGCUCACCAAGGCGACGAUCCGUAGCUGGUCUGAGAGGAUGAUCAGCCACACUGGGACUGAGACACGGCCCAGACUCCUACGGGAGGCAGCAGUGGGGAAUUUUGGACAAUGGGGGCAACCCUGAUCCAGCCAUGCCGCGUGAGUGAAGAAGGCCUUCGGGUUGUAAAGCUCUUUCGGACGGAACGAAACGGUUAGCGUGAAUAACGCUGACUAAUGACGGUACCUGUAAGAAGAAGCACCGGCUAACUACGUGCCAGCAGCCGCGGUAAU
rnacentral:rRNA from 1 species